GAUGAAGAACGUAGCGAAAUGCGAUAAGUAAUGUGAAUUGCAGAAUUCAGUGAAUCAUCGAAUCUUUGAACGCACAUUGCGCCCCCUGGUAUUCCGGGGGGCAUGCCUGUCCGAGCGUCAUUACAACCCUCAAGCUCAGCUUGGUAUUGGGCCCCGCCGCUUCGGCGGGCCCUAAAGUCAGUGGCGGUGCCGUCCGGCUCCGAGCGUAGUAAUUCUUCUCGCUCUGGAGGCCCGGUCGUGUGCUUGCCAGCAACCCCCAAUUUUUUUCAGGUUGACCUCGGCUCAGGUAGGGAUACCCGCUGAACUUAAGCAUAUCAAUAAGCGGAGGA
rnacentral:misc_RNA from 1 species